rnacentral:rRNA from 1 species
UAAGUUAAUAAGGGCGCACGGUGGAUGCCUUGGCACUAGGAGCCGACGAAGGACGUGACAAACGACGAUAUGCCUUGGGUAGCUGUAAGUAAGCGAUGAUCCAGGGAUUUCCGAAUGGGGGAACCCAACAGGUAAUACCUGUUACCUACAUCUGUUAAGGAUGUGAGGAGGAAGACGCAGUGAACUGAAACAUCUAAGUAGCUGCAGGAAGAGAAAGCAAAAGCGAUUGCCUUAGUAGCGGCGAGCGAAACGGCAGAAGGGCAAACCGAAGAGUUUACUCUUCGGGGUUGUAGGACUGCAAUGUGGACUCAAAGAUUAUAGAAGAAUGAUUUGGGAAGAUCAGCCAAAGAGAGUAAUAGCCUCGUAUUUAAAAUAGUCUUUGUACUUAGCAGUAUCCUGAGUACGGCGGGACACGUGAAAUCCCGUCGGAAUCUGGGAGGACCAUCUCCCAACCCUAAAUACUCCCUAGUGACCGAUAGUGAACCAGUACCGUGAGGGAAAGGUGAAAAGCACCCCGGGAGGGGAGUGAAAUAGAACCUGAAACCGUGUGCCUACAACAAGUUCGAGCCCGUUAAUGGGUGAGAGCGUGCCUUUUGUAGAAUGAACCGGCGAGUUACGUUAUGAUGCGAGGUUAAGUUGAAGAGACGGAGCCGUAGGGAAACCGAGUCUGAAUAGGGCGCCUUAGUAUCAUGACGUAGACCCGAAACCAUGUGACCUACCCAUGAGCAGGUUGAAGGUGCGGUAAGACGCACUGGAGGACCGAACCAGGGCACGUUGAAAAGUGCUUGGAUGACUUGUGGGUAGCGGAGAAAUUCCAAACGAACUUGGAGAUAGCUGGUUCUCUCCGAAAUAGCUUUAGGGCUAGCGUCGACAUUAGAGAUUCUUGGAGGUAGAGCACUGUUUGGGUGAGGGGUCCAUCCCGGAUUACCAAUCUCAGAUAAACUCCGAAUGCCAAUGAAUUAUGGUCGGCAGUCAGACUGCGAGUGCUAAGAUCCGUAGUCGAAAGGGAAACAGCCCAGACCACCAGCUAAGGUCCCAAAAUAAUUGUUAAGUGGAAAAGGAUGUGGGGUUGCACAGACAACUAGGAUGUUAGCUUAGAAGCAGCUAUUCAUUCAAAGAGUGCGUAAUAGCUCACUAGUCGAGUGACCCUGCGCCGAAAAUGUACCGGGGCUAAAACAAUUUACCGAAGCUGUGGAUACCUUUAUAGGUAUGGUAGGAGAGCGUUCUAUGUGUGAUGAAGGUAUACCGUGAGGAGUGCUGGAACGCAUAGAAGUGAGAAUGCCGGUAUGAGUAGCGAAAGACAGGUGAGAAUCCUGUCCACCGUAAGACUAAGGUUUCCAGGGGAAGGCUCGUCCGCCCUGGGUUAGUCGGGAACUAAGGAGAGACCGAAAGGUGUAUCCGAUGGACAACAGGUUGAUAUUCCUGUACUAGAGUAUGUAGUGAUGGAGGGACGCAGUAGGCUAACUAAAGCAGACGAUUGGAAGAGUCUGUCUAAGCAGUGAGGUGUGAAUUGAGUCAAAUGCUUAAUUCUAUAACAUUGAGCUGUGAUGGGGAGCGAAGUUUAGUAGCGAAGUUAGUGACGUCACACUGCCAAGAAAAGCUUCUAGCGUUUAAACAUACUCUACCCGUACCGCAAACCGACACAGGUAGUCGAGGCGAGUAGCCUCAGGUGAGCGAGAGAACUCUCGUUAAGGAACUCGGCAAAAUGACCCCGUAACUUCGGGAGAAGGGGUGCUGACUUAAAGUCAGCCGCAGUGAAUAGGCCCAAGCAACUGUUUAUCAAAAACACAGCUCUCUGCUAAAUCGUAAGAUGAUGUAUAGGGGGUGACGCCUGCCCGGUGCUGGAAGGUUAAGAGGAGUGCUUAGCGUAAGCGAAGGUAUGAAUUGAAGCCCCAGUAAACGGCGGCCGUAACUAUAACGGUCCUAAGGUAGCGAAAUUCCUUGUCGGGUAAGUUCCGACCCGCACGAAAGGCGUAAUGAUUUGGGCACUGUCUCAACGAGAGACUCGGUGAAAUUUUAGUACCUGUGAAGAUGCAGGUUACCCGCGACAGGACGGAAAGACCCCAUGGAGCUUUACUGCAGUUUGAUAUUGAGUGUCUGUACCACAUGUACAGGAUAGGUAGGAGUCUAAGAGAUCGGGACGCCAGUUUCGAAGGAGACGCUGUUGGGAUACUACCCUUGUGUUAUGGCCACUCUAACCCAGAUAGGUGAUCCCUAUCGGAGACAGUGUCUGACGGGCAGUUUGACUGGGGCGGUCGCCUCCUAAAAGGUAACGGAGGCGCCCAAAGGUUCCCUCAGAAUGGUUGGAAAUCAUUCGCAGAGUGUAAAGGUAUAAGGGAGCUUGACUGCGAGAGCUACAACUCGAGCAGGGACGAAAGUCGGGCUUAGUGAUCCGGUGGUUCCGUAUGGAAGGGCCAUCGCUCAACGGAUAAAAGCUACCCUGGGGAUAACAGGCUUAUCUCCCCCAAGAGUUCACAUCGACGGGGAGGUUUGGCACCUCGAUGUCGGCUCGUCGCAUCCUGGGGCUGUAGUCGGUCCCAAGGGUUGGGCUGUUCGCCCAUUAAAGCGGCACGCGAGCUGGGUUCAGAACGUCGUGAGUACAGUUCGGUCCCUAUCCGUCGCGGGCGUAGGAAAUUUGAGAGGAUCUGCUCCUAGUACGAGAGGACCAGAGUGGACUUACCGCUGGUGUACCAGUUGUCUUGCCAAAGGCAUCGCUGGGUAGCUAUGUAGGGAAGGGAUAAACGCUGAAAGCAUCUAAGUGUGAAACCCACCUCAAGAUGAGAUUUCCCAUGAUUAUAUAUCAGUAAGAGCCCUGAGAGAUGAUCAGGUAGAUAGGUUAGAAGUGGAAGUGUGGCGACACAUGUAGCGGACUAAUACUAAUAGCUCGAGGACUUAUCCA